AUGACUCGAGAAAAGGUAGUACGCAACUUCAUUUAUAUUAUGCACUUGGCUAUUCUCAAGGAAUUGCAAGAUGAUGGGCUAUACACCUCACAUAGCCUGAGACCAUGUUAUGUGGUGUUUGGUCGGACAUGCGCAUUUGCAGCACCAUGGGGUACUCUUUGGCUGAAGUACAUAUUUUGUAUCUUCUUUGGACCUAAAUCAGACUGUUCAAGUGGUGUUUGCUCAGAACAUGCAGGUGGAGCACCAUGGGAUGCUCUUUGGCUGAGUUUAUUGCCGCCUGGUGGUGAUAGUCAACCCCCCUUGACACUAUCUUAUGGACAAAGAGCAAAACGAGUCUACAACUCCAUGAGGAAGAUGUUCACCCGCCGUGCAUCUAGCUACGCACCAGGAAAGUCGCUCACGCUAGGCAGUAGGCACACAGGAUCAGACAGUGUCCUCGCACAGUCCACGGCGCUCCAUCCCCCCAUCCACCUCCAGCUCCAAAAUCACCUGCUCCCCCGCAAGUCCUGCCGCGUCGACUACCACGCGUGGGCACCAGAUUCGGCAGAGGUCGCCCUCGUGGGCUUCGCAAAUCCCACCACCUCCGCAUCAGCUGCCGAGCGGGCGGACCAGCACGGGCUCCGUUGCUGCAGCGACGGCCAUGGCUGA
rnacentral:rRNA from 1 species